AAAUGUACCUGUCAAGAGUAGAUCAUAAGGUGAUGUUCCCGGGACAGUGCUGAUUCACUGCAUUUGGAAUGUACUGACCCUUGUUGGGAAACUUGAUUUAUAAUUUAUGGUAGUGGAGGAGUACACUUUC
rnacentral:snRNA from 1 species